GACGAACGCUGGCGGCAGGCCUAACACAUGCAAGUCGAGCGAGCGGCGGGCGGGUGAGUAAUGUAUGGGGACUGCCCGUUAGAGGGGGAUAACUACGGGAAACGGUAGCUAAUACCGCACACUAUCGGAUUACGCAUAUGGGAUUAGCUAGUCGGUGGGGUAAUGGCUCACCUAGGCGACGAUCCCUAGCUGGUCUGAGAGGAUGAUCAGCCACACUGGGACUGAGACACGGCCCAGACUCCUACGGAGGCAGCAGUGGGGAAUAUUGGGCAAUGGGCGCAAGCCUGAUGCAGCCAUGCCGCGUGUAUGAAGAAGGCCUUAGGGUUGUAAAGUACUUUCAGUCGGGAGGCGUUACCGACAGAAGAAGCACCGGCUAACUCCGUGCCAGCAGCCGCGGUAAUUC
rnacentral:rRNA from 1 species